rnacentral:tRNA from 1 species
GCCGGAGUGGCGGAAUUGGCAGACGCGCCGGAUUCAAAAUCCGGUCCUGGCAACAGGGUGAAGGUUCGAUUCCUUUCUCCGGCA